CUUGAGCAAUGUUUAGAGCCGAUUCGGGUGGUGCUGAUGUGUUUAAAUGAGAAAAAUAAAGGACAUAGUAAUGCACUAAAACAAAAACCGUUUACUAACUGACCGGAAGUGUUUUGUAAUUGCAAACCUGAGAAAAGUUGCUAAUGCACCCCUUUUACAAGGCUAUUACUGUAAUGAUUGAAAGACUCCGUGAGAUCCGCGUAUAGACGUAAUUUUGAAAUGCUGAACAUGAAUUCGUCGAACGAAUUCUGAAGGUGUGAAGUGGUGACACUUUUUUGUACUGUAGAAUUAAUUUCUAUGGCUUUUGCAUCAAAGUACAAACUAAACAGUUCAGAAAACAAAGAUAGAAGAAUGAAGCAUACUCAUUUAUGGAAACGGUGGCCUGACAGACCAUGAAAGCUGUAGAACGCUGUAUAACUAGCUGAACGUAAAUUUCAUCUUUAUCAAGAUUGU